AUUGAACGCUGGCGGCAGGCCUUAACACAUGCAAGUCGAGCGAGAAAGCACUUCGGUGCGAGUACAGCGGCGGACGGGUGAGUAACGCGUAGGAAUCUACCUAGUAGUGGGGGACAACAUGUGGAAACGCAUGCUAAUACCGCAUACGCCCUAUGGGGGAAAGCAGGGGAUCUUCGGACCUUGCGCUAUUGGAUGAGCCUGCGUCAGAUUAGCUAGUUGGUGGGGUAAUGGCCCACAAAGGCAACGAUCUGUAGCUGGUCUGAGAGGAUGACCAGCCACACUGGGACUGAGACACGGCCCAGACUCCUACGGGAGGCAGCAGUGGGGAAUAUUGGACAAUGGGCGCAAGCCUGAUCCAGCCAUGCCGCGUGUGUGAAGAAGGCUCUAGGGUUGUAAAGCACUUUCAGUAGGGAGGAAAAGUUAGUAGUUAAUAACUGCUAACCCUGACGUUACCUACAGAAGAAGCACCGCAAACU
rnacentral:rRNA from 1 species